CAACGCACAUGGACGCAAUCCUGCAUCAAGUGCGUUGUUUUGUUUUUCUAUAAUCAGCAAUGCAUUGUAAGCAGGAUAGUGUUAGUGUGUUAG